AUUGAACGCUGGCGGCAGGCUUAACACAUGCAAGUCGAGCGGGGGAGGUUGCUUCGGCAACUGACCUAGCGGCGGACGGGUGAGUAAUACUUAGGAAUCUGCCUAUUAAUGGGGGACAACAUCUCGAAAGGGAUGCUAAUACCGCAUACGCCCUACGGGGGAAAGCAGGGGAUCACUUGUGACCUUGCGUUAAUAGAUGAGCCUAAGUCGGAUUGGCUAGUUGGUGGGGUAAAGGCCUACCAAGGCGACGAUUUGUAGCGGGUCUGAGAGGAUGCGCCGCCCCACUGGGACUGAGACACGACCCAGACUCCUACGGGAGGCAGCAGUGGGGAUUAUUGGACAAUGGGGGGAACCCUGAUCCAGCCAUGCCGAUUGUGUGAAGAAGGCCUUAUGGUUGUAAAGCACUUUAAGCGAGGAGGAGGCUCUUUUGGUUAAUACCCAAGAUGAGUGGACGUUACUCGCAGAAUAAGCACCGGCUAACUCUGUGCCAGCAGCCGCCGUAAAAC
rnacentral:rRNA from 1 species